UUCCCGGUAGCGCAAUAGAUAGCGCGUUGGACUUCUGAUCCAAAGAUCGUUGGUUUGAAUCCUAUCUGGGAUG